UGUAAAACUGUCCUGCUCGGUGCUCGUUCACGCCGACAGAAAGCGACACUGGUGAGUCAUACACCAUGUGCUCGAUACCGGCUCCUCGGCCUCCAUGUUGCGCCGGGAGCGCAGAGCCGCCAUGUUGUCAACUGAUGCAAGCGCGCACCCCGGCCACCUUAAAGCCAGCACUGGGGUGGAAGGGUGCGCGUUCACGAGGGGUAUGAAGGACUACCAUGACUGGCAGAAAGCGAAAAAUCUGGGAAGUCAUUUUUAAGUUCACAAUAACUGUUACUUAUAAGCGAUUUUUUAAAAAAUCCAGCAGUAUUAAGGCUCAUUAGGACAAAGCCGAAAAGAUCGCCACAUUCCAUACCAGUUUGGAUCAGAAAUGCAAAAGGGGCAUCAUAGCAUAAACAUCCUGCACCGCUGAUUUUCUGCACGCAGCACAAAACUCGCCCUCAGGCCCCCCUGGAUCCCCACCCGCUGGUAACACUGGAACGACUCAUCAGCCCUGACAAGAUUAUCUAAAUCCGAAUGAGAUUUGCAUUCAAACAGAUGCCAGACCCUGAAAAGAUGAACUCAUGCUGUUUUCAAGACACCUUAUCUGGCAGGCAUUUACAUUCCCAACAGAAGCAUAUACAAGAUUUUAACUGAAUUAAAAGUGUUUUUUUUUUAACUGAAUUAAAAUUAUUCAGGGUGGAGUGUAUCAUCACAGACAGGGUUCACCACUUUGCAACCGAAAAUCAUCUUAUUCUCCUCUGGCUGUCUUUAAAGUAGCUUAAGUUUACAAUUAACCAGAACUAUUCACACCCACAGUGGCUGGUGGACACCAGUUUGGGAAUUUUUUUCCCUCAAA